UACGUAGGGUGCGAGCGUUAAUCGGAAUUACUGGGCGUAAAGUGUGCGCAGGCGGCCGCGCAAGUCGAGUGUGAAAGCCCCGGGCUUAACUUGGGAAUUGCGCUCGAAACUACGUGGCUGGAGUGUGGCAGAGGAAGGUGGAAUUCCAGGUGUAGCGGUGAAAUGCGUAGAGAUCUGGAGGAACACCGAUGGCGAAGGCAGCCUUCUGGGCCAACACUGACGCUCGUGCACGAAAGCGUGGGGAGCAAACAGG
rnacentral:rRNA from 1 species